ACUGCGAGGAGCCACCGCCUCUUUCGCGCUCCUUAUACACCUAUCACUGGGAGCGGUGGCAGCAACGUUCCCUGGACCAACCGCCGCCUCUUCAGGCGGCCGCUUUGCCGGUCAUUCCCGAAGCCCGGCAACUGAGGGCGGCCCCCUUUCCUUAACAGUCUCCUCGCUACAGAUCGUCUGCUCCCUCAGCCUCGCCCGAGACCCACUUCCCCAGUCUCGCCCGGGUGGAGGUCGACGAGGAGGAGACAAGAGUCACCCUUCCUCCAGGCGGCGCCGGCCCCCUCACCCGCGGGUGUGUCCUAUAAAUGGCGUCGGAAAGCGACACCGAGGAAUUCUAUGAUGCCCCUGAAGAUGUGCACCUAGGGGGCGGCUACCCCGUGGGGAAACAGAGAACACUGCAUACAAAGUUGGAAAUGAGUCCCCUGUACAAGAAUUGAAACAAGAUGUGUCUAAAAAGAUUAUUGAAAGUAUUAUUGAGGAGAGUCAGAAAGUACUACAGCUUGAAGAUGACUCUUUGGAUUCCAAAGGAAAAGAACUCUCUGAUCAAGCUACUGCCAGUCCUAUUGUGGCUAGAACAGAUCUGAGCAAUAUACCCGGACUGUUAGCCAUAGAUCAAGUACUACCGGAAGAAUCCCAAAAGGCAGAGAGUCAGAAUACAUUUGAAGAGACUGAAUUAGAAUUAAAAAAAUGCUUUCCUUCUGAUGAAACCUGUGAGAAACCAGUAGAUGAAACCACGAAGUUAACUCAAACAAGUUCAACUGAGCAGCUUAAUGUGCUUGAAACUGAAACAGAAGUAUUGAACAAGGAAGCAGUGGAAGUCAAAGGAGGUGGUGAUGUUUUAGAGCCUGUGUCCUCAGACUCCUUAUCUACUAAAGAUUUUGCCGCUGUGGAAGAAGUGGCCCCUGCCAAACCCCCAAGACACCUUACUCCAGAGCCUGAUAUAGUGGCUAGUACAAAGAAGCCUGUUCCAGCACGCCCACCUCCUCCAACUAAUUUCCCACCUCCUAGACCCCCACCUCCAUCUCGACCUGCUCCACCACC
rnacentral:sRNA from 1 species